UCCUGGUGGUGUCAAUUAACUGGUCCUUCUCUCUUCACCCAGGUUUUCUAUAAACGGUUACCUUUAAAUAUUUGACUGGAUUGUGUUUCACUUUUUUUGGCGAGGCUCAAUCAGAGGCGGAACCGUGGGCUUCCUGCUGCAUCACACCUGGAGGCAGAUCACCUGGCUCAGGGGAAGCCAUUCUGUGAACUGUCCUAUGGAGAGGCCAGCUUGGGGAGGAAUUGAUGUCUUCUAUCAGGAACCAUGAGAGUGAGCUUAGAAGUGGAUCCUGCCCCCUCAGUGAAUCCUGCAGCUCCAAGUGACAGCUUGACUGCAACGUCAUCUGAGACCCUAAGCAGGAGCCACCUUGCUUGGCCAAUCCUGGAUCCCUGAACCCUCGGAAACUGUAAGAUAAUAAAUGAUUAUCAUUUUCA